rnacentral:rRNA from 1 species
AACGAACGCUGGCGGCAUGCCUAACACAUGCAAGUCGAACGAAGUCUUCGGACUUAGUGGCGCACGGGUGCGUAAACGCGUGGGAAUCUGCCCUUGGGUACGGAAUAACUCAGAGAAAUUUGUGCUAAUACCGUAUAAUGUCGUAAGACCAAAGAUUUAUCGCCCAAGGAUGAGCCCGCGUAAGAUUAGCUAGUUGGUAGGGUAAAAGCCUACCAAGGCGACGAUCUUUAGCUGGUCUGAGAGGAUGAUCAGCCACACUGGGACUGAGACACGGCCCAGACUCCUACGGGAGGCAGCAGGUGGGGAAUAUUGGACAAUGGGCGAAAGCCUGAUCCAGCAAUGCCGCGUGAGUGAUGAAGGCCCUAGGGUUGUAAAGCUCUUUUACCCGGGAUGAUAAUGACAGUACCGGGAGAAUAAGCUCCGGCUAACUCCGUG